rnacentral:rRNA from 1 species
UUCGAUUCGGUGUGACAAGGCCCGGGAACGUAUUCACCGCAGCGUUGCUGAUCUGCGAUUACUAGCGAUUCCGGCUUCAUGCAGUCGAGUUGCAGACUGCAAUCCGAACUUAGACCGGCUUUUGGCGAUUGGCGCACCCUCGCGGGUUGGCGACGCUCUGUACCGGCCAUUGUAGCAUGUUUGCAGCCCAAGACUUAAGGGGCAUGAUGACUUGACCUCAUCCCCACCUUCCUCCGAGUUGACCCCGGCAGUCUCCUAUGAGUCCCCGGCAUUAUCCGCUGGCAACAUAGGACGAGGGUUGCGCUCGUUGCGGGACUUAACCCAACAUCUCACGACACGAGCUGACGACAGCCAUGCACCACCUGUGCAGGGCCCUUACGGACACCGUAUCUCUACGGCUUUUCCCUGCAUGUCAAACCUUGGUAAGGUUCUUCGCGUUAAUCACUA